rnacentral:lncRNA from 1 species
GCCCCCUGCUGGCUCUGUGUAUCAUCGCUGCUGCUGCUGCUGUAUAUACAGUAUGUGUGUGUGUCUGAGGAGCUGCUAUUCACUGUUUCUCACCAGGGAGAGCCGUCUCCAGCAGCAACGACUCUGCACAGAAACCAGACUUAAUGAAAUGCUUUUCAGUGAGGUGGCACCUCAUUAGCGUAUUGAGAACCCCACACACCCACUCAGUAGAAAGAGAAAAGUCUGGGAUAAAUUAGAUCCUUAAGCAAGAAGUUCAUUUGCAGGAAACAAGUUUGAAUGUGCAAAGAAAGUAAGACUUCCACAUCAGGUUUUAUGGACUGAAUUAAUGAACCUGAUAUUAAGUUUGAGUGGGCCUGAAAACUGCUCUCCACGGCAUGUCUGCCUCUGUUUAUGUGGCGGGGUGAAAUUAACUGGUUAUACAAUAUUUUAACUAGUAAAGCCAAAGGUCUGCCAACGCUUUUUUUUACCCUUUGGAGCCCCCCUAAUGCAUCCUUUAAAGCCUGAAAAGCACCGAAUGUUUGGACUCUUAGUAUGAGGAAGAAAUCAAGAGGAAAGAUCGUAUUAAACAUGUGCAAAUGUAAUAGAUUACUGUGAAACUACAUCAAAUACCAGCACACAGCUUCGUGUGAACCGUUGGCAGCCCUGACAAUGACGCUACAACGACAGGCCGCUUAGAACUUAAUCCCCUUAGUCCCCAUUGUCACGGCUGCAUUGAGUCAAACAGUGUCAUGUUCAGCUGACCCAGGCCAGGUGUAGGCUGGUGUGCGUGUUGGCUGUGAACCGUUCAGCUGCCUGUCUGGCUGGAAGUAAUGGAGAGACACCUGAGGUGUGAGGUGGAACCUGAAGCCUUGCUCACAGACGGACAAGACAGAGCAGGACUGUGACACUUUAGAAGCACAUGUUGGUCAGUUCACAGUAAUCCUCCUGCAGCCGUUUGAGCAGUUAUGAAUUAGUGAUGCUCGGCUGACACAUUUCCAAACACUCCUGCUCCCUUUGUGUGAGGCGGCUUCUGA